rnacentral:rRNA from 1 species
UACAGAGGGUGCGAGCGUUAAUCGGAAUUACUGGGCGUAAAGCGUGCGUAGACGGCUAUCUAAGUCGGGUGUGAAAGCCCCGGGCUCAACCUGGGAAUUGCAUUCGAGACUGAAUAGCUAGGGUGCGGUAGAGGGAAGCGGAAUUUCCGGUGUAGCGGUGAAAUGCGUAGAUAUCGGAAGGAACAUCAGUGGCGAAAGCGG